AGAAACUUAGGAUAAAAAAACCCCGAGCCUUCAAAGCUCAAAAUAGAAGUCGGACCCUUCUAGUUUCU
rnacentral:tRNA from 1 species